UACAGAGGAGCCAAGCGUUGUCCGGAUUGACUGGGCGUAAAGCGCACGCAGGCGGUCGUGCGCGUGGGGUGUGAAAUCUGGCCGCUUAACGGCCAGGCGCCAUCCCAUACGGCACGACUGGAGCGAUGCAGAGGUCGGUGGAAUUGCCGGUGUAGUGGUGAAAUGCGUAGAUAUCCGGAGGAAUACCAAAGGCGAAGGCAGUGUCCUGGAGGGUGACUGACGCUGAGGCGCGAAAGCUAGGGGAGCGAACAGG
rnacentral:rRNA from 1 species